CAUAUCAAUAAGCGGAGGAAAAGAAACUAACUAGGAUUCCCUUAGUAACGGCGAGUGAACCGGGAUGAGCUCAAAUUUAAAAUCUGGCGUCUUUCAGGCGUCCGAGUUGUAAUCUAUAGAGGCGUUUUCCGCGCCGGACCGCGUCCAAGUCUCUUGGAAUAGAGUAUCAAAGAGGGUGACAAUCCCGUACUUGACGCGACAACCGGUGCUCUGUGAUACGUUCUCAAUGAGUCGAGUUGUUUGGGAAUGCAGCUCUAAAUGGGUGGUAAAUUCCAUCUAAGGCUAAAUAUUGGCGAGAGACCGAUAGCGAACAAGUACCGUGAGGGAAAGAUGAAAAGCACUUUGGAAAGAGAGUUAAACAGCACGUGAAAUUGUUAAAAGGGAAACGAUUGAAGUCAGUCGUGUGAAAGGUAUUCAGCCGUCUCUGGCGGUGUAUUUGCCUUUCACGGGUCAACAUCAGUUUGAUCCGGUAGAAAAAGGCGGGAGGAAGGUGGCACCCUCGGGUGUGUUAUAGCCUCCUGUCAUAUGUGCCGGACCAGACUGAGGAACGCAGCUUGCCGCAAGGCCGGGGUUCGCCCACGUACAAGCUUAGGAUGUUGACAUAAUGGCUUUAAACGACCCGUCUUGAAACACGGACC
rnacentral:rRNA from 1 species